rnacentral:tRNA from 1 species
GUUAUUUUGGCAGAUUAGUGCAUUAAAUUUAGAAUUUAAUAAUGUAGAUUUAACUACAAAUAAUAC